UUUAUAACGGAGUCGGCGUGGACAGCGAGCCAUCCACGCCGCCGCCGCCGCCGCCGCCAUGUCGCCGCUCACCUGCUUUCUGCUCGCACUUGCUCCGCUGCUCGCCGCCGCUCGCACCGUUGAUCCGCAUUAUUGCGACCUCAAGCUUAUACGAGGACUUGAAACUGGGGAAUAUAUUGAUUUUAAGAUAAUCGCUCCUGGUGGCCGUGUUAACAUUGAUGAUAAAUGCAGCCGGCCAGGAAGAGAGUUGGUAGGCGAGGAUGUUUACGUGUGCAAUUACCCAUUUUCUAAGCCCAUAGUUAGUACGAUUGUUGGCACCCCUAAUCAGUUCAAGUCAGUGAGCAUAUACUGUCCGAAUUGUAUCGCUGGGUGCUCGCGCCUCGAAGUAAACGUGAGGCAGUAUUGCAAAAUGGUGACACCGCCUGUUACUGUACGGGCAUUGUAAUGAUGCAAGUUGGUAAUACUAUUAUAUAUGGUGAUUUAUUUAUCGCAUAAGAUAUAUUAUAUACAAUACAUGUCACUAGAUUACAUACAAAAAAAAAGAAAGAAAAAAUGUAUAGUUAUGUACUUGUUUAGAAUUUCUAUGUAUCUAAGUAUUUAUAUUAUAUCGAUUUAUAUAAGUAUGUAUAUCGUCGCCUAGUGCCCAUAGUCCAAGCUUUGCUUAAUUUGUGGCUAGGUCGAUCUGUGUAAGGCUGUCUCCAAUUAGGUAUUAUUAUUUGUUGUUAUGUUGUAAAAUCUGAUUUUAGAAAUAGAUAGGUACAUACAUUUAAAAUCACGCCUUUUUCCCGGAGGGGAAGGCAGAGACCACGGAUUUCUACUUGCUACGAUCCUGACAUACCUCUUUCGGCUCCUUCACUUUCAUAACAUUUCUCAGAUUUUAAAAAUAAUUAUAUUAAUACUUUGGCAUAAUUAUCCGGAAUAAAAAUUUUUGAAGUGUGGCACAUUAAACAAUGAAUUCCG